GAUGAACGCUGGCGGCGUGCCUAAUACAUGCAAGUCGAGCGAACAGACGAGGAGCUUGCUCCUUUGACGUUAGCGGCGGACGGGUGAGUAACACGUAGGUAACCUACCUAUAAGACUGGGAUAACUUCGGGAAACCGGAGCUAAUACCGGAUAAUAUUUCGAACCGCAUGGUUCGAUAGUGAAAGAUGGCUUUGCUAUCACUUAUAGAUGGACCUGCGCCGUAUUAGCUAGUUGGUAAGGUAACGGCUUACCAAGGCAACGAUACGUAGCCGACCUGAGAGGGUGAUCGGCCACACUGGAACUGAGACACGGUCCAGACUCCUACGGGAGGCAGCAGUAGGGAAUCUUCCGCAAAGGGCGAAAGCCUGACGGAGCAACGCCGCGUGAGUGAUGAAGGUAUUCGGAUCGUAAAACUCUGUUAUUAGGGAAGAACAAACGUGUAAGUAACUGUGCACGUCUUGACGGUACCUAAUCAGAAAGCCACGGCUAACUACGUG
rnacentral:rRNA from 1 species